rnacentral:miRNA from 1 species
UCUCUGAGUACCAUAUGCCUUGU